AUACUGUUUUUCUGAAAAUAAAUAAAUUGGAAAAAAAAAAUGAAUUGAGAGUAAAAAUGACUUAUCAAACAGGUAUUUACUAAGAAAAGAAAUUUCCUCUUGGUUUUUAGUAAUCCCAAGUCUAGAAGCCUUUAGUUCCUUGGAAAGUAUAUAAUCUUAAAAAUGGUUUAAUAUCAUAAAUUCAGAUCGAUACUAGGGAUACUAGUUCCGUAUCUUCCUCGCUGCUUUCUACCUUUUGUAAAGGUAACAGUUUUCCUAUUAUCUUGUUAAGUUAGAUAGAAACUUUUAUAGGAACAUUUACAUUGUGACCUUCAUGACAGAAUUUCCAGUGUUGGUGUACGGUCAUUCUUAUAGAUCCACAAAGUAUUAUUUUAAGGGUAUUUCUUUCCUACUUGUAAUGAUUUACUAUCUCUUCUGUUCUUGCUUCUACAAGUGUGGUCCCAGGAACCAAGAGAAUCAGCCUUUUGGGUUUUUGGCAGUGCACAAUCUCUGAACACAGCUGACCAAAUGAAUCUGAAUGCUCAUUUUAACACAAUCCCAGGGGAUUUGAAUGAUGUGCAUUAUGUUGAGAAUCACUGAUAAGAGAAAUUUCACCCUUUUAAGGUCAUUUUGUGGGCGAAGUGCUUUUAAAGACAUAGGAGAAACAAGCCAGAAAACAAACUCAUUUCAUUUGUGAAUUUAUUACUCCAUAUAAACAACUUAAGAAUGUAUGAGUAAACAGCUUAUGGAUGUAGGAGUAAUCCUGACAUUUGCCAUUAUGCCUCAUGGAGUUUUCUUUAUCUGGAAUAAUGCAGACUUCCAUUUUCAUUCAGGUGUUUUUUUGUUGUUGUUGUUUUUUAUUAAGAUGUAUACCUACCCCUUCAUGUGGUCUUGCCAUGGAAUGUAGUAUGGUGUAGUAACCCACAAAUACAGAAUAACCAACAUACUUCCAACUCCCUAUAAAUGGGACACAUUAGGGAUUGUUUUUACCACCCCAUGUGGCCUGCAAUUUUGGUUUAGUCCCCACGAUAAGGAGCUCAUCAUGGAAUUUGGCAUUGUUGUGAGAAAGAUCAUGUUUUACUAAAGCCAUAUAUUGUAUUUUUUAGCCCAAAGAAAGCAAAGAAUGGCAGAUAAGAGCAAGGCAGAGUGUGCUGUAUAGUAAUGGAAAAUUACUUUCUUCCAAGUUAAACUGAUGCCCAGUAUUAGGGUUAGGAUUCCAGUUGGGGUCCUUGGGAGCUCUGGGUGUUGGCAGAGGACUAUUUCCCGAUUUUAAUUUGGUCCUUAUUUGAUUGUUUACUCAUUGUAAUUACAAUUUUCUGUCUUACUAGUAAUGCUCUUCUGUACUUGGAGGAAGAUGUAAGGCUUAGAAAUCCCAGAUCUGGUCUGAAAGGAGCAUUAUCUGCAAGUCAGCACUGGAUGAAGGAAAGCAGUGUGGGUUCUAAUCAGUGGUUCUCUGCAUUUACUUACCAACCAACUUGGUUGGUAACCAACUUUAUGUACUUACCAACUUUACUAACUUAAUUACCAACACUUGGACCAAUAAAGCUUUAAAAACUUAACAGUUUUAAGGGUUUACAUAGUUUUAGGCUAUGAAAAUUAACUGCAUAAAAUAUUAAGAUUUUCCAAAUUCUUACUUCAUAAAUCACUUUUUGAUAAUG